rnacentral:misc_RNA from 1 species
GUGAAGAACGUAGCGAAAUGCGAUAAGUAAUGUGAAUUGCAGAAUUCAGUGAAUCAUCGAAUCUUUGAACGCACAUUGCGCCCGCCAGUAUUCUGGCGGGCAUGCCUGUUCGAGCGUCAUUACAACCCUCAGGCCCCCGGGCCUGGCGUUGGGGAUCGGCGGAGCCCCCCGUGGGCACACGCCGUCCCCCAAAUACAGUGGCGGUCCCGCCGCAGCUUCCAUCGCGUAGUAGCUAACACCUCGCGACUGGAGAGCGGCGCGGCCACGCCGUAAAACCCCCAACUCUUCUGAAGUUGACCUCGAAUCAGGUAGGAAUACCCGCUGAACUUAAGCAUAUCAAUAAGCGGAGGA